AACACUAUACUAAAAAAUAAAAAUCGUAAAUUUUCGGCGAAAUUGUAGACUGACUUCAACAUAUUCAAUUAAAUACACACAACACAACACUAUAAUAAAAAAUAAAAAUCAGGGCGAACAUACCCAGGGCGAACAGGUAUCAGGGCGAACGGUCUCAGGGCGAAACAGAACUAGGGCGAACCGAAAUCAGGGCGGACGGACCCGGAUUC
rnacentral:lncRNA from 1 species